CUUUUUCCAGUUCUUUAACUAUUUUUCUAUUAUAUUAGUAUUCUCCUUGAAAUAAUGUCUGUUUUCCCGUUAGACCAUCCUUCUGUCCUAGCGACUCUCUGGGCAGAUGGGGAGCGGCUUACUGAUCUCAUCUGUCCGAACAUUCCCGACGGCUGAGAGGAUCCUGGCUGGUUGUUGUCCUCCCUUUUCUCAAUAAUUUUUUCCAGUUCAUCCUGAUUUAUGUUAGUCAUUAAUAAAUUUAUGGUCAAUUGACCUUCCUGUGACAUAUCUGUAAUUCCCAAUAGUAUGCCUUCUAAUACCGAAUUAACUGGGUGUUCAAAUUGUCCCGUUCCCAUUAAAGUCAUAUGUAUUUAA